UGGAGAGUAAUUGGGCAAAUUGAGGGUAUGAACGCCAGAAGAAACAAUGUAUUUUGACAAGAAAAAUUGGUUGGCAAACGUUAAGGUUUUUAUGAGUAAUCACAAUGAUUCUUUAAGUAAUUAUAAUUUGUUCCACACUCUGUCACAGUUGUUUUGAUUGUGGCUUUUUAUUAGUGAAUAAAGUUAUUUAGUUGUCCUUAUUUUUAGGAAUAGAUUCACAGUAUUGAAAUAUUUCAAAUACCAAUGAUGUUAAAUUUCUUGAAUAUUUUCCCUUUCUACUGUCUGAUGAGUCAUUGGACUAUCAUUCUGUCCCAAGAACAUUAUAGUGACACCAGUCUUAGUCACAAAAUCAUUACUGUCAUAAAGUGGGGGGGCAGGAUAUGGGAAGAAAUCUACACAAUGAGACAAACCUGGCUUAAUCUUACAGUUGCAAUUAUUACCCACAUUUUUAAAGCAAACUUAUCUUGAAGUAAAUUUUCAAAUUUCCCAAUACUAAAUUGCCCUGUCAUUAGCCUGUCUCCAGAUGAAUGAAGUCUUGGGGCUGCAGGGAUAAGUAGUUUAGAUGCUGUGGUUUCAUAAUUGAAUUUUCUUUUUAUAAGCAUGGAGAAUGAGGAUUAGGAGUAUUAUUCUGCAGGAACUGAGUGCAGCCAUUGAUGUAAACCCAGAUGUGCUCUGUUGUACCAUAGAAACAUAAAGAUAGAGCACCUCUGCAGUCUAUGUGGUUAAAUCCCUAGCUGAAGUAUAAAACUCAUAAUAAUAAUGCUCUUAUAAACUUUCAUAUGGAGGA
rnacentral:lncRNA from 1 species